UUUUGGACAAUGGGGGCAACCCUGAUCCAGCAAUGCCGCGUGAGUGAAGAAGGCCUUCGGGUUGUAAAGCUCUUUUGUCAGGGAAGAAACACCGGCUCUAACACAGUCCGGGAAUGACGGUACCUGAAGAAUAAGCACCGGCUAACUACGUGCCAGCAGCCGCGGUAAUACGUAGGGUGCAAGCGUUAAUCGGAAUUACUGGGCGUAAAGCGUGCGCAGGCGGUUAUACAAGACAGGCGUGACAUCACCGGGCUUAACCUGGGAAUGGCGCCUGUGACUGUAUAGCUAGAGUGUGUCAGAGGGGGGUAGAAUUCCACGUGUAGCAGUGAAAUGCGUAGAUAUGUGGAGGAAUACCAAUGGCGAAGGCAGCCCCCUGGGAUAACACUGACGCUCAUGCACGAA
rnacentral:rRNA from 1 species